rnacentral:rRNA from 1 species
GAUGAACGCUGGCGGCGUGCCUAAUACAUGCAAGUCGAGCGAAUGGAUUAAGAGCUUGCUCUUAUGAAGUUAGCGGCGGACGGGUGAGUAACACGUGGGUAACCUGCCCAUAAGACUGGGAUAACUCCGGGAAACCGGGGCUAAUACCGGAUAACAUUUUGAACCGCAUGGUUCGAAAUUGAAAGGCGGCUUCGGCUGUCACUUAUGGAUGGACCCGCGUCGCAUUAGCUAGUUGGUGAGGUAACGGCUCACCAAGGCAACGAUGCGUAGCCGCCCUGGGAGGGUGAUCGGCCACACUGGGAAUGAGACACGGCCCAGACUCCUACGGGAGGCAGCAGUAGGGAAUCUUCCGCAAUGGGCGAAAGUCUGACGGAGCAACGCCGCGUGAGUGAUGAAGGCUUUCGGGUCGUAAAACUCUGUUGUUAGGGAAGAACAAGUGCUAGUUGAAUAGGCUGGCACCUUGACGGUACCUAACCAGAAAGCCACGGCUAACUACGUGCCAGCAGCCGCCGUAA